GAUUGACGUGUGUGACACACCCAGAUCUAGAGACGACGUCGUGACGUCUAUUAUGCUUGACAAGAAAAUCUCAAGAACAGAGGACCUGUUAAUGGAAAAAAUGAAUGCGUGAUAGACUGGACCAGAUGCCUUUUCAAAGUCAAGUGCUGAGUUAACUCGUCCUUCACUGAAAAAUGUCACAUUACCCAAGUACACAGGAGUGAAGCUUUUGCCGUCGUAUAAUUUUCCCAUAAAAUGGGAACAUUUAAGUGUAGAGCGGUGGAAUUGUGUGUCAAUGAAUGGCCCUGUUAAUAGUGAUAUCACUCCCUGGAACAAAAGGAUGGAAGGCUGAACGAGAAUAGAGGAGUGGAGGUGAGUCCAUGGAGCGUGUACCGUCGGCCAUUUCCGUCCCCUCCGUUCGGGUCAUGCACUGGCCCAUCGAGAGAGCGCGUACAUGACUGACAAUACCCGCAAGACAAACGGUUCCACUCCAGCGCAAACCGCGCUCAGACAGAUACGUGCAAAAAAAAUAAUAGUUAUUAAAUUAAUUGCGGUCGUAAUCUCGUAAAAUAUGUGUCAGAAAAUUAUACGCUGUUCGAUUAACACAUAACACGGAUGUCAAAUAUGUAAUAAAAUCCUGAUCAAUAAAACAAUAACCAUGUUGUUAAAAGCAGCCGUUGAAAGGUGUUGCCAGCGCUGUGUUUCAGGGGUGAGCACCCCUUUUAAUAUAAACGGAUUUCAUCUUUCCACCGUGUCACCUAAAUCACCACAAUGUUUGUGUAUACAAUUAUAAUAAGUUAA